rnacentral:rRNA from 1 species
UACGAGAGGCCCAAACGUUAUUCGGAUUUACUGGGCUUAAAGAGUUCGUAGGCGGCUUGGCAAGUGGGGUGUAAAAGCCCUCGGCUUAACCGAGGAAUUGCGCUCCAAACUACCGAGCUUGAGGAGGCUAGAGGUGAGCAGAACUGAUGGUGGAGCGGUGAAAUGCGUUGAUAUCAUCAGGAAUACCGGAGGCGAAGGCGGCUCACUGGGACCUUUCUGACGCUGAGGAACGAAAGCUAGGGGAGCAAACGGG